rnacentral:rRNA from 1 species
GAUGAACGCUGGCGGCGUGCCUAAUACAUGCAAGUCGAGCGGUAAGGCCUCUUCGGAGGUACACGAGCGGCGGACGGCUGAGUAACACGUAGGAACGUACCCCAAACUGAGGGAUAAGCACCAGAAAUGGUGUCUAAUACCGCAUGUGCUCUAAGGAGUAAAGCUUCGGCGGUUUGGGAACGGCCUGCGCACGAUUAGAUUGUUGGUGAGGUAAUGGCUCACCAAGUCGACGAUCGUUAGCUGGUCUGAGAGGAUGAUCAGCCAGACUGGGACUGAGACACGGCCCAGACUCCUACGGGAGGCAGCAGUGGGGAAUCUUGCACAAUGGAGGAAACUCUGAUGCAGCGAUGCCGCGUGAGUGAAGAAGGCCUUUGGGUUGUAAAGCUCUUUUGUAGGGGAAGAUAAUGACUGUACCCUAAGAAUAAGGUCCGGCUAACUUCGUG